rnacentral:lncRNA from 1 species
GAAGGUCUUUCUUCAGGUGGGCUGCACAUUUUGUGCGCCUCUAACACCAGCCUGUCGGUGUCGUCCAGCUGGGGUAUGUGCGCAGGAAAGCCUGGGUGUUAGAGGAACGCAUUCUUUUUGCAGAAUAUUGACUACCUGAUUCCCUAUGAUGUCAUCUCGGGCGCCACGGCUUCCCUUGGCAGGUUUUAAACAAGCAGUCUGAGGUCACGAUCCUCAGCUUCUCCUCCUUUUUGCUCUUCAUUACCAAAGUGUUUGUCAGCACUCUGAAUUUGUCGGUAAAGACUGACAAUGAGUCUCCCUUCAGGCUGGAGUUCUCUGAGCGAGUGCAUUCGUGAGAGAAUGAGGGAACAAACAGGUACAGAGCAUGUCAUACGCGUCACGCUCCGCCUGGCACCACCCCGGCCUUACAGCAUGUCACAUGAUUCCAGUGGCAUCUUCUGUAUGAGAGUGUUCCAUAGCAUUUUAAAUAUUCCCCAAAAUGAAUCAUGUUUCAAAAUUCUUAAUUUUAUAUUUCAUUUAAAUUAAAAAGGGAGAUAAAAGGUUUAUAAUAUAUUUUAAACACUGUUACUAUAUAAUACUAACAACAAAAAUUGUAGUUAAUAACUAAAGACUCUUGAAAAAUGUCAAAGAAAUAUUUGAUUUCUGUUGCAUCUUUGACUAAAAUAUUUACUUCAGAAAUAAAAUCAUUUGUAUUUUGUUAUUACUUUAAUUACAUGAUUAAGAUCAAUACUUUGUAGAAGUCUGUGUUACUUUAUAUCUAAAAGAAAAAUUGUCCCUUAAUUCAUGGGUACACUGUGCAGUUGUAAAUUGUUUUUUCUCGAGUAUACUUCCUAAUAACGGUGGCAUCUGUAUUUCUCGCAUAUAGAGAAAACAUACUAAAAUUUCUCUAACCCAGUUACUAGAGCAUAAUAGAUGUAACUUUAGGUUCCUUCUUUUCUCUGGGCUCUUUAUCCUGGGAUUGGCUGGCUCCUGCCUCGUCUGUUUUUGCUUAGCUGUGUAUAUGUACAGUUAUACACAGAUCUGGAGUAUGGUCUGCUCACUGAUAGGUAGAUGAUAGAGUUGCUGUAGUCCGCACAGCCUGUCUGCAGAGCAUUUAAGUCAUCAGCAUCUGACCAGGAGCUGUUUCAAGUCACUCGUAGUUCAGGGACACUGGAAAGCAUGCCUCUGUUCUUUAGCUCCAUACCCCAAUACAAGUAUUCUGUUUGCUCUAUAAAUAGCCAGCAAGCUUUUCUGUAAACAGCCAGAGAGUGUUUUAAGGUCUGCCAGUCAUGUAGCUCUCUUAUUACUCAUUUCUGCUGUUACAGCUAUAAAUAAUAUGCAAAUACAUGAGUGGAACUGUGAUGCAAUGCAC